AAACAUCGCCUCUUGAAUCUCAUAAGAGGUCCAGCCUGCCCAGUGACACAAUUAAACGGCCGCGGUACCCUGACCGUGCGAAGGUAGCAUAAUCACUUGUUCUCUAAAUAAGGACUUGUAUCAACGGCAUCACGAGGGUUAUACUGUCUCCUCUUUUUAAUCAGUGAAACUGACUUUCCCGUGAAGAGGCGGGAAUAGUAAUACAAGACGAGAAGACCCCAUGGAGCUUUAAACCCAGUAGUAACCUCUAUUUACUACUACUACUUAAUUAAGAAGGUCUGUCUACUGGUUUUAGGUUGGGGUGACCCUGGAGUAAAACUUAGCCUCCAUGACGAAUAGAACUUAUUCUAAUCCCAGAGCUACCGCUCUACGAAUCAAAAUUUUGACGUAAACUGAUCCGCCUAGCGAUCAACGAACCAAGUUACCCUGGGGAUAACAGCGCAAUCCAUUUCAAGAGCCCCUAUCGACAAAUGGGUUUACGACCUCGAUGUUGGAUCAGGGUAUCCCAGUGGUGCAGCCGCUACUAAAGGUUUGUUUGUUCAACAAUUAAAACCCU
rnacentral:rRNA from 1 species